UACGUAGGGUGCGAGCGUUGUCCGGAAUUAUUGGGCGUAAAGAGCUCGUAGGCGGUGUGUCACGUCGGCCGUGAAAACCUGCAGCUUAACUGUGGGCGUGCGGUCGAUACGGGCAGACUGGAGUACUGCAGGGGAGACUGGAAUUCCUGGUGUAGCGGUGAAAUGCGCAGAUAUCAGGAGGAACACCGGUGGCGAAGGCGGUUCUCUGGGCAUUACCUGACGCUGAGGAGCGAAAGUGUGGGGAGCGAACAGG
rnacentral:rRNA from 1 species